rnacentral:rRNA from 1 species
GACGAACGCUGGCGGCGUGCUUAACACAUGCAAGUCGAACGGUAAGGCCCUUCGGGGUAGACGAGUGGCGAACGGGUGAGUAACACGUGGGUGAUCUGCCCUGCACUUCGGGAUAAGCCUGGGAAACUGGGUCUAAUACCGGAUAGGACCACUGCCUGCAUGGGUGGUGGUGGAAAGCUUUUGCGGUGUGGGAUGGGCCCGCGGCCUAUCAGCUUGUUGGUGGGGUGAUGGCCUACCAAGGCGACGACGGGUAGCCGGCCUGAGAGGGUGACCGGCCACACUGGGACUGAGAUACGGCCCAGACUCCUACGGGAGGCAGCAGUGGGGAAUAUUGCACAAUGGGCGCAAGCCUGAUGCAGCGACGCCGCGUGAGGGAUGACGGCCUUCGGGUUGUAACCCUCUUUCAGCACCGACGAAGCGCAAGUGACGGUAGGUGCAGAAGAAGGACCGGCCAACUACGUGCCAGCCGCCGCGGUAA